GAUCACAAAUAUAUUUCAAAUACAUCUCAAUUCAAUCUUAAUUUAAUCCUAGUUAAAAUCCUAUUGGACAUCAUUCAAACUUUAGGCCAAAAAUUAACUAAAUCUUAAAUCCUAAAUAAAUCCUAAUAAAAUCUUAAACCUUAAAUCAAAUCCUAAUCAAAUCCUAAAUCUCAAAUCAUAAUGAAAUUCUAAACCUUAAAUCAAAUCCUAAUCAAACCUUAAAUCCUAAACCAAAUCUUAAACUCUAAAUUAAGUCUUAAAUCAAAUCCUAACCAAAUCCUAAUCAAAUCCUAAAUCCUAAACCAAAUCCUAAUCCUAAAUAAAAUCUUAAUCUUAAAUCAAAUCUUAAUCAAAUUGUAAUCCUAAAUCUUAAAUCUUAAACCAAAUCCUAACCAAAUCCUAAUCCUAAAUCAAAUCCUAACCAAA
rnacentral:lncRNA from 1 species